rnacentral:rRNA from 1 species
AAGCGGAGGAAAAGAAACCAACAGGGAUUGCCCCAGUAACGGCGAGUGAAGCGGCAAGAGCUCAAAUUUGAAAGCUGGCUCCUUCGGGGUCCGCAUUGUAAUUUGCAGAGGAUGCUUCGGGAGCGGUCCCCAUCUAAGUGCCCUGGAACGGGACGUCAUAGAGGGUGAGAAUCCCGUAUGGGAUGGGGUGUCCGCGCCCGUGUGAAGCUCCUUCGACGAGUCGAGUUGUUUGGGAAUGCAGCUCUAAAUGGGUGGUAAAUUUCAUCUAAAGCUAAAUAUUGGCCGGAGACCGAUAGCGCACAAGUAGAGUGAUCGAAAGAUGAAAAGCACUUUGAAAAGAGAGUUAAAAAGCACGUGAAAUUGUUGAAAGGGAAGCGCUUGCGACCAGACUCGCUCGCGGGGUUCAGCCGGCAUUCGUGCCGGUGUAUUUCCCCGCGGGCGGGCCAGCGUCGGUUUGGGCGGUCGGUCAAAGGCCCUCGGAAGGUAACGCCCCUAGGGGCGUCUAUAGCCGAGGGUGCAAUGCGACCUGCCUAGACCGAGGAACGCGCUCGGCUCGACGC